rnacentral:rRNA from 1 species
UCNUCANNUCANANCUUCNCUUAUAAUCGCAUUUCGGCAGGCCUAACACAUGCAAGUCGAGCGGUAGCACAGAGAGCUUGCUCUCGGGUGACGAGCGGCGGACGGGUGAGUAAUGUCUGGGAAACUGCCUGAUGGAGGGGGAUAACUACUGGAAACGGUAGCUAAUACCGCAUAACGUCGCAAGAACAAAGAGGGGGACCUUCGGGCCUCUUGCCAUCAGAUGUGCCCACAUGGGAUUAGCUAGUAGGUGGGGUAACGGCUCACCUAGGCGACGAUCCCUANCUGGUCUGAGAGGAUGACCAGCCACACUGGAACUUAGACACGGGUCCACACUCCUACCGGAGGCAGCAGUGGGGAAUAUUGCACAAUGGGCGCAACCCUGAUGCAGCCAUGCC